CCUUCUUUUGCAAAAAGGAAGCCAAAGAUUUUCUUGAGACGGACGCUGACAUUGCAGUGCUGACGUUAUUUAAAAGCAAGAUGUGUGCAGAAGAGAGCUGGCUGGUGGAACUGCAGAAGUCAAAUAAAACAUCAAAUAAAUAAGGGAUACUGCACCCUUUUCGCUAACUGAAGCACAAGGGGAGCACCAGCUGCUCUGGCUUCUCUCCCAGGCAGCUGUUUUUCGUCCAGCUUAAUAUACAGUCUGUAGUUCCAAAAGAGUUAGUAAAAGAAAACAAAAGGUUAAGCUUUUCAUAUGUUUAGAAUAACUUUACAUUUAUUAUAAAAUGCUUCAAACCAUAUUUAUUCAUUAAAGAUGUAAAGUUAAAAUGAUGAGAACUCCAAACACAGUUUUUGUGAUUGAUCCUAUUUGUUUAUCAAUCCGGUCUUUAGUUAACUCUUCUAAAGUCAUAAUUAUAAAGUGUACUUUAUGCACAUAAAUAUAUAUGUUCUGCUUUGUCUUUUCAGUCUGAAGGGUUUACAUCAGAAUCUUGAAAGUAGUCUCUUAAAGGAUGUAUAGUAUCUAUGCUCAGCCAUACUUUUAUUGGGUUAAUCAUAAAAUACAAUGAAUGUGUGAAAUCAACCAUAAUCUUUUAAUAACUUAGUAUUUAACUGCAGUGUACAAAAGUGGGAAGUUGAAAGUACAUUUUGAUGUUUUGUUAUAGGCACUGAUGUGAAACACUACAACAAAUACUUGAUAUGUUUCUGCCUCUCUGUAGGACUUCCUAGAGCC